rnacentral:lncRNA from 1 species
GUUGAAAUUAGCUGCAUCUAUGGAGAAGAGUCUGCUCUUAACUAUGUCCUCCUUUGGAGAGAUUUCCUUGUUGACUGGAGGCAUCAGCAAGAUGUCAUGCUAUUCUGUUUCAGGGACUUCCUGUAGAAGCGCUCCUGAAGGCUGUACCUCGGUGCCACAAGCUCUACCUCCUGCUUCCUCUGUGCUACCUCUUCUCCCAGACCCACCACACCCGAAGUAAGAAUCAUCACCUUAAGCAACAUCCUUCC